UGCGGUUAAAACGUUCGUAGUUGAAUUUGUGUCCCACACGGGUAAUGCACCCAAGUGCGGGUUUUGCAUUACUUGUUGCACUGUGCGUUCUGUGUAAAAGCAAGCGUAUAGUGUGACUUUAAGUGUGACGGAUGUUUUACCGGU
rnacentral:rRNA from 1 species